rnacentral:rRNA from 1 species
GAUGAACGCUGGCGGCGUGCCUAAUACAUGCAAGUCGAGCGAACGGACGAGAAGCUUGCUUUUCUGAUGUUAGCGGCGGACGGGUGAGUAACACGUGGAUAACCUACCUAUAAGACUGGGAUAACUUCGGGAAACCGGAGCUAAUACCGGAUAAUAUUUUGAACCGCAUGGUUCAAAAGUGAAAGACGGUCUUGCUGUCACUUAUAGAUGGAUCCGCGCUGCAUUAGCUAGUUGGUAAGGUAACGGCUUACCAAGGCAACGAUGCAUAGCCGACCUGAGAGGGUGAUCGGCCACACUGGAACUGAGACACGGUCCAGACUCCUACGGGAGGCAGCAGUAGGGAAUCUUCCGCAAUGGGCGAAAGCCUGACGGAGCAACGCCGCGUGAGUGAUGACGGUCUUCGGAUCGUAAAACUCUGUUAUUAGGGAAGAACAUAUGUGUAAGUAACUGUGCACAUCUUGACGGUACCUAAUCAGAAAGCCACGGCUAACUACGUG